rnacentral:antisense_RNA from 1 species
UGUGGGAGCGGGCUUGCUCGCGAUGCUGACGCUGCGGUUUGUUUGAUAAACCGAGGUGAUGCCAUCGCGAGCAAGCCCGCUCCCACA